CCCUUAGAUGUUCUGGGCCGCAUGCGCGCUACAAUGAUGAAUUCAACGAGUUUAUAACCUUGGUUGAAAAGCCUGGGUAAUCUUUUGAACUUUCGUCGUGAUGGGGCUAGACCCUUGCAAUUAUUGGUCUCCAACGAGGAAUUCCUAGUAAACGCAAGUCAUCAGCUUGCAUUGAUUACGUCCCUGCCCUUUGUACACACCGCCCGUCGCACCUACCGAUUGAAUGGUCCGGUGAAAUCUUCGGAUUGAGACUUUGAUUUCUUCACGGAAAACGCUGUUUUAAAAAGUUGAUUAAACCUUACCAUUUAGAGGAAGGUGAAGUCGUAACA
rnacentral:rRNA from 1 species